CUCCGGGCGUCGGCCUGUGGGC
rnacentral:snRNA from 1 species